rnacentral:rRNA from 1 species
UACGGAGGGUGCAAGCGUUAAUCGGAAUUACUGGGCGUAAAGCGCACGCAGGCGGUUGGAUGAGUUAGAUGUGAAAGCCCCGGGCUCAACCUGGGAAUUGCAUUUAAAACUGUCCAGCUAGAGUCUUGUAGAGGGGGGUAGAAUUCCAGGUGUAGCGGUGAAAUGCGUAGAGAUCUGGAGGAAUACCGGUGGCGAAGGCGGCCCCCUGGACAAAGACUGACGCUCGGGUGCGAAAGCGUGGGGAGCAAACAGG